CUCUUUCCCUCCUUUUCCUCUCCCCCUUCUAUCUCCCUCCUCUCUCUCUCUCUCUCUCUCUCUCUCUUUCUCUGUUGGUGGAGGCAGAUCUGUUCCUCUUCUGGGUGCGGCACUGCAGAAGCCCUUCAGGGAGUACUUGGAGGCCCAGAAGGCCAAACUGCACCAUCACGGCGGAGAGGGGAUCCCGACUGAGGAGAGCUGGCUGCCGUGGCUCUUCGAGAAGGUUGUGGUCAUCAUGGUAUGCUUCUUUGUCUGCUCCAUUGUCAACUCCAUGGCGCAGAGCUACGCCAAGCGCAAGCAGCAGGAGAAAUUCUCUGUGGGGAAGAUGGAGUGAGGGCCGGCACGCAAUCGCAGCGAACUUCAGAGGCUCCCAUCACUUCACUCCCGCUGAUGCCUCAACACGAAGCUUCAUAUCUGCCUCCGUCUCUUCUCGUUACUGUAGCAACAUGUUUACCUUGAACUUGGACUUCCAUUAUUCUUGCUCUUUUUGAGGGCUUUGUGUUGCGGUAGUGAUUUUUUGCGGUUGUUCUCUUUAAGGUAGGUGCUUGUCGGGGUGCGUGUUAUGUUCUCGCCGUUGCUUUUUAGAAACUUGUGAGCACUUGAGAAGAAGAUGCUGGCUGUUUUUACUCUCCUCAGUGAGGCCUUACGCUGCACUGUUUGAUCCUUAGACCAACUUCAAAGUCUUAUAUGACUGUAGAGACUGUAGAUUUAAAUAAGCUAGUGUUGUGUCUUUGUUAAAUAAAGUAUUUAUGAUGUACCCUUGCUGGUUUAAGGAUAAGUUCUGUAUUCUGAGCUGUACAGUAGAGUUGUUGGCUAAGGCUGAGUCCGUGUAGAGCUCUUAAGACAGUAGUAGUCGUGAUGCUAACGAUUGUCCCGUGCUGUUCAUGGACCGCUUCCUCUUUGUGAAUCCAGCGUCUUACUACUUUUUGGGGAUUUUUAAAUGAUAAACGGGCCACGGAUCACCCUGCUGGUCCCUUUGUCUGCCCUUAUUGUUCUGCUUCCAGGAAGACAGCACAUGAGUCAGCCCGGGGGCUACUUUACCAGAUGCAGCCGUAUAUUGAAUCAGAUCUACGACUCUGCGUGUGUGCGUGCCUGUGUUUGUGUGUGUGAGAGAGAGAGAGAGAGAGAGAGAGAGAGCGGCGAGAUAGUCGGCUGCGUGGCUGCCACAUUUGUCCCCCCCCCCCUCCCUUUUAUCUUUUACGGAUUAAAGCAGAUUGUGCUCCGGUAAUAGACUAUAGUAGGAGUCAGUGUGGAAGUGGGAGAGCAGAUAGUAGCUGUUUCAACUUCAACAGAGUCUGCGUCGUGUUUGUCUUUGUCUUUACUUGUCUUUUUUUUUUUUUUUUUAAUCUUUUUAACACGAGACGAGGGCAGCAAGCAAAUGUUUGACAUCACCGGAGCCUCUCUUAAAGCAAAGCUCUUCAUUUAAUAUAGUCAUUCUUUUUUUCUUUUUUUUGUGGAUAACGUCAGCUUUCUUUCUUAAAUCUCUCCCCCCCCCCCCUUAAAUCGCCAGAGAAACGUGCUAUUUUCUCCCUCUCUGUACCGCCGCUGUGCUACGCUGGACUGAGCACAGUGGGCGCUAGAGCAGGCGCAAGCAGGAGGGAGGGAGUGAGGGAGGGACUGAGAGAGAGAGAGAGAGAAAAAACCUCAAGCGCAGCACAGUGAAAAGCGUCUGUGCCGUUACCUCAGCUGAACCUUCGUAUGAACUCGUUGCACUGCCCCAGUCACGGAGCCAGGAGACGAAUCACUCGAGUAGAUUCAAAACAGAGGGGUACUGUUGAGCGGGCUGAACCCUGCGCUCUGCACCAGCGCUAGUCAGAACAUUUUACAUCUCCCUUUUUUCUCUCCUGUCAUGGUAAGUGGGAUUAGGAUUUUUUUUUCCCCUUCUCUUUUCAUUGUUGUCUGUACAUGCGUCCGUCACUCUCUCGGCCUGUCAGAUAGCUUAUCAGACUGGUGUUGGCUGUUAAGAUUUCAAGGCGACAACAGUCUGUAGGCUGUCUGACAUUUCGGGCUCUCUCAUCUGACCAGCAUCCUGUUUUGUCCUCCUUUCUGUUACUGUCAUUGUUUCAGUUAGCAUCAGUUCCCAUUUUUAAAGGUGUGCGUGCGUGUCUGCGUGUGUGUGUGUGCGUGUGUGUGUGUGUGUGCUGCUGCUGCUGCGAUGUCACUUCCCUUUAUCCCAACCGCUCCUGUAGCAUCAGAGACAUGGCUCUAUUGUUUAUUUCCUCCAUGCUGACGUCCGUGAGGGUUUUUGUGUGGUUUUAUGUGGGGGGAACUGUGUCUUCUCAUGUUUGCAAAUGCAGAUGUAGUGAUGUCAAUGGUGUACCUCUUUAUAUGUGUGUGUGUGUGUGUGUGUGUGUGAGUUGGCUCUGUCCUCUUGAAUUUCCAGAGAAUCCAGACAGUACACACCUUAUUGCAACACAUCACAUUGUGACACCCAGUCCUAGGUAUGGUACACACAGUGCUCGCUCGGCUCUCCCCUUCCCUUUUACACUUCCCUCUUCUCUAAUCCGAGUACUUUCUUUUGUUUCUCAAUAUCCACUUUUUUUUUUCGUCGAGGAAGCUGCUUUUUAUUGGGGAUUUUUUUUUUUUUUUUUUUUUUUUUUUUUUUUUUACUAUGGGGCCACAAAUUGGUGAUUAUGCAAAGCUGGAAAUCGUUGCUUGACCAGUGUAUAUUUUUUCUCCACAAAGCCUCAGGUUUAUUUAGAGAUUUUUUUUUGAGAGCUCUUUUUUCCUCGUCAUUAAAGCAAAAAUCAUUGGCUAACACAGGAAUGGCUCGCUGGCUGACUGAGUGUUUUUCUUGGCAGUUUCAGGAUGUCCUGUUCCAUAAGGGAGCCCCCUUUUGGCAUGCCUGUCUGAAUGUGUGUGUGCAUGCUUGUCGAGAUACUCUGUUUAUAUUUUGACCUGUAAUUCUCUGUAUUUCUGGUGUUAUUUUAAAUAUGUAUGCACAGUUUUUCUUCACUCCUCUGCUUUAAAUAAAGUCUGUUCAAAAGAG